UAGGGAAUCUUCGGCAAUGGACGGAAGUCUGACCGAGCAACGCCGCGUGAGUGAAGAAGGUUUUCGGAUCGUAAAGCUCUGUUGUAAGAGAAGAACGAGUGUGAGAGUGGAAAGUUCACACUGUGACGGUACCUUACCAGAAAGGGACGGCUAACUACGUGCCAGCAGCCGCGGUAAUACGUAGGUCCCGAGCGUUGUCCGGAUUUAUUGGGCGUAAAGCGAGCGCAGGCGGUUAGAUAAGUCUGAAGUUAAAGGCUGUGGCUUAACCAUAGUACGCUUUGGAAACUGUUUAACUUGAGUGCAAGAGGGGAGAGUGGAAUUCCAUGUGUAGCGGUGAAAUGCGUAGAUAUAUGGAGGAACACCGGUGGCGAAAGCGGCUCUCUGGCUUGUAACUGACGCUGAGGCUCGAAAGCGUGGGGAGCAAACAGGAUUAGAUACCCUGGUAGUCCACGCCGUAAACGAUGAGUGCUAGGUGUUAGACCCUUUCCGGGGUUUAGUGCCGUAGCUAACGCAUUAAGCACUCCGCCUGGGGAGUACGACCGCAAGGUUG
rnacentral:rRNA from 1 species